rnacentral:rRNA from 1 species
AGAGUUUGAUCCUGGCGUCAGGAUGAACGCGUAGCGGCAGGCCUAAUACAUGCAAGUCGUACGGGAAGGGGCCUUUCGGGGCGUUCUGAGAGUGGCGCACGGGUGCGCAACGCGUAUGCACAACCCCCGACAGGCGGAUAGCCGGUGGAAACGCCCGGAUAAUACGCCAUGGUUCCUGAGGAGGGCAUCCUUCUUGGGAUAAAGCCGAGAGGCGGCCGGGGACGGGCAUGCGUCCCAUUAGGUAGUAGGCGGGGUGACGGCCCACCUAGCCGACGAUGGGUAGGGGAUCUGAGAGGACGGUCCCCACACUGGUACUGAGACACGGACCAGACUCCUGCGGGAGGCAGCAGUAAGGGAUAUUGGGCAAUGGGGGAACCCUGACCCAGCCAUGCCGCGUGAGGGAAUGAGGCCCUACGGGUCGUGAACCUCUUUUAUUCGGGGACAAGGAUCCGGUCGUGAACCGGAUUUGAGGGUACCGAAGGAAUAAGCAUCGGCUAACUCCGUGCC